AGUGAACGCUGGCGGUAGGCCUAACACAUGCAAGUCGAACGGCAGCACAGUAAGAGCUUGCUCUUACGGGUGGCGAGUGGCGGACGGGUGAGGAAUACAUCGGACUCUACUUUUUCGUGUGGGCUAACGUAGGUAAACUUACGCUAAUAUCGCAUCCGACCUACGGUUGAAAGCAGGAGAUCUUCUGCCCUUUCGCGUUUGACUGAGCCCUUUUCGGAUUAGAUAGUUGGCGGGGUAAAGGCCCACAACGGCGACGAUCCGUAGAUGGUCUGAGAGAAUGGUAGGCGACACUGGAGCGGAGACAGGGUCAAGAGUCCUGAGGGAGGCAGCAGUGGGGAAUAUGGGACAAUAGGCGCAAGCCUGAUCCAGCCAGACCGAGUGGGAGGAGAAGGCCUUGGGGUUGUGAAGACCUUUUGUUGGGAAAGAAAAGCAGCAGGUUAAGACCCAGCUGUUCUGACGGUACACAAAGAAUAAGCACCGGCUAACUUCGUG
rnacentral:rRNA from 1 species